rnacentral:rRNA from 1 species
GACGAACGCUGGCGGCGCGCCUAACACAUGCAAGUCGAACGGAGCGCAUAGAAAGAAUUCCUUCGGGGACGAUUUUUGUGUUGCUUAGUGGCGAACGGGUGAGUAACACGUGAGCAACCUACCUUUCAGUGGGGGACAACAUUUGGAAACAGAUGCUAAUACCGCAUAAGACCACAGCCGGACAUCCGGCAGUGGCCAAAGGAUUUAUUCGCUGAAAGAUGGGCUCGCGUCUGAUUAGCUAGAUGGUGGGGUAAUGGCCUACCAUGGCGACGAUCAGUAGCCGGACUGAGAGGUUGAACGGCCACAUUGGGACUGAGACACGGCCCAGACUCCUACGGGAGGCAGCAGUGGGGAAUAUUGCACAAUGGACGAAAGUCUGAUGCAGCGACGCCGCGUGGAGGAAGAAGGUUUUCGGAUUGUAAACUCCUGUCUUCGGGGACGAUAAUGACGGUACCCGAGGAGGAAGCCACGGCUAACUACGUGCCAGCAGCCGCAGUAAAAC